GGAUGUGAGGGUGAUCUGACUGCGACAUCUGUCACCCCAUUGAUCUCCAAGGUUGAUUUGGUUUAUCCAGCUGCCUAGGCAGGUGUCCUCUCCCUCCCUCACUGGUCCAUGUGCGUCCCUCCUGAAGCUGCACUCAGUUGAAGAGGACAACCUUCCCCAAAUAGAGGAGGUCCUGUCUUCCGUCAAGGGUAUACGAGUAGCUGCGCUCCCCCCGCUAGAACCUCCAAAUAAGCUCUCAAAGGACACUUGGGUUCAUCCUCUUAGGCCACUAACUGUCUGUGUCACCUCUAUUCUUGAAU
rnacentral:snRNA from 1 species